GGUUGAUCCUGCCAGUAGUCAUAUGCUUGAUUCAAAGAUUAAGCCAUGCACGUGUCAGUACAGUCCUAAGCAUGGAAAAACUGCGGAUGGCUCAUUAGAUCAGUUAUGGUUCCUUAGAACGUAUUCCCAAAGUGGAUAACCCUGGCAAUUCUAGAGCUAAUACAUGCACCGAAGCUCCGACCGGAAGGGACGAGCGCAAUUAUUAGACCGGACCCGCCCGCCCCUUCGGGGUGCGGGUAGCGAAGGUGACUCUGGAUAAUCAUGCCGAUCGCACGGCCGAGAGCCGGCGACAAUUCUUUCGAAUGUCUGCCCUAUCAUAGUCGAUGGCAGUUGAGAAGGACUACCAUGCUGACAACGGGUAACGGGGAAUCAGGGUUUGAUUCCGGAGAGGGAGCCUGAGAAACGGCCACCACAUCCAAGGAAGGCAGCAGGCACGCAAAUUACCCACUCCCGACACGGGGAGGUAGUGACGAACAAUAACAAUACGGGUGUCUUUCGAGGCCCCGUAAUUGGAAUGAGUGCAAUCUAAAUCCUUCAACAAGGAUCUAUUGGAGGGCAAGUCUGGU
rnacentral:rRNA from 1 species